rnacentral:rRNA from 1 species
AUUGAACGCUGGCGGCAGGCCUAACACAUGCAAGUCGAGCGGAUGAAGGGAGCUUGCUCCUGGAUUCAGCGGCGGACGGGUGAGUAAUUCCUAGGAAUCUGCCUGGUAGUGGGGGAUAACGUCCGGAAACGGGCGCUAAUACCGCAUACGUCCUGAGGGAGAAAGUGGGGGAUCUUCGGACCUCACGCUAUCAGAUGAGCCUAGGUUGGAUUAGCUAGUUGGUGGGGUAAAGGCCUACCAAGGCGACGAUCCGUAACUGGUCUGAGAGGAUGAUCAGUCACACUGGAACUGAGACACGGUCCAGACUCCUACGGGAGGCAGCAGUGGGGAAUAUUGGACAAUGGGCGAAAGCCUGAUCCAGCCAUGCCGCGUGUGUGAAGAAGGUCUUCGGAUUGUAAAGCACUUUAAGUUGGGAGGAAGGGCAGUAAGUUAAUACCUUGCUGUUUUGACGUUACCAACAGAAUAAGCACCGGCUAACUUCGUG